AUCGAACGCUGGCGGCUGGCCUAACACAUGCAAGUCGAACGAGUGGCGGACGGGCGAGCAAUGUCUGGGAAACUGCCUGAUGGAGGGGGAUAACUACUGGAAACGGUAGCUAAUACUGCAUACCAUCAGAUGUGCCCAGAUGGGAUUGGCUAGUUGGUGGGGUAACGGCUCACCAAGGCGACGAUCCUCAGCUGGUCUGAGAGGCUGACCGGCCACACUGGAACUGGGACACGGACCAGACUCCUACGGGAGGCAGCAGUGGGGAAUAUUGCGCAAUGGGCGCAAGCCUGAUGCAGCCAUGCCGCGUGUAUGAAGAAGGCCUUCGGGUUGUAAAGUACUUUCAGCGGGGAGGCGUUACCCGCAGAAGAAGCACCGGCUAACUCCGUGCCAGCCGCCGCGGUAAUAC
rnacentral:rRNA from 1 species